AGCUCAUUGUCGCAAAUGGCUGUGAGCCUGUGACUGCGAACCCUGAAGUGUUUUUCUUGAUCGGUUUGUUGAAGUUUGUACUGUAGUUCGUGCUGUGUGCAGGGGAAGUGGCUUCUAAAUGAGAUAAAUUACGGACCAGAACUUAGAAGAGUUAUGAAUCCAUCGAAGACCGGAGCUGGUACUGACGAGCUACAGGAACGAACACUGUGGUACUUCGAUGUAUUGACCUGUUUGAAAGAACACGAAACCCCCUUCCAAUUCAUUAAGCUCCAUUACAUAACCACGUGGAUGAGGCGAAGCAGAAGAUGAAGAGAGACGUGAUGUAUGUGUGCCCGAGCAAAACCUUAUCAUGCUUCAUAUGUACAUAAAGAAGAUACCUCUUAGAUAUGAUGCAAAUGCAAUAACACAAGCUGCAGAUGAUUUUUUUUUUUUAAAAUUCCUUAUGAAACAUUGAGAUGUUCAUGUGAAAAUCCUGCUAAGUCAAAGGCUGUGGGAAAACAACAGUGCUGCCAGAAGAGGAGGAAAAGUAUAUAGUAGAGGCUCUAGUGUUUACAGCAAAGUGUGGAUAUCUGUGAGACAGAAAAGAUUUACAAUUUAUGGUGUGUAGUUACAUACAUUCAGUGGGUAGGAAGACACCAUUUAAGGACGAUAAUGCUAUGCCAGGCUGUGUCUUUAUUGUAUGUUUCGAAAAAAGAUUGCGAAAACCUGAACUAUUGACAAGAGCAAGGGCUGAAGGAUUGUCUAAUUUUGUAGCAGAUGAGUUUUGUAGGAUGUUUGUCCCUAAAAGUGCAAGGGUAACCUAUUCAAGAUCAGGGGAUGCAGGAAUAUCAUAUAGCCUAUAAUAAUGUUUCAUUAUGGGUUCUGAUUAUUGUGUAUAAUACUGUCUUUUUCACAGAGUUUUGUUUACAGUGUAAAAAAAUCCAUUUAAUAGGUAAUAUUGUGUAGUUUAAUUAUUUAUUGUGCUUAAGAUUGUCCAUUGUGUAAAGUGUAAUCUAAACAUUAAGAAACAAGUUUCACGUACAACAGUCUAUGCAAGUGAUUGUAUCUUCACCUACAAUGUUUGGUUACCUAAGAACCAGUAUCCUUUCCAGGCGCUUGUCAGUUUAAAGAUGGCCUAAUAAGCCGAAAACUACUUCGAAAUAAACAAAAAUCAG